rnacentral:rRNA from 1 species
GAUGAACGCUGGCGGCGUGCCUAAUACAUGCAAGUCGAGCGAACGGACGAGAAGCUUGCUUCUCUGAUGUUAUCGGCGGACGGGUGAGUAACACGUGGAUAACCUACCUAUAAGACUGGGAUAACUUCGGGAAACCGGUGCUAAUACCGGAUAAUAUUUUGAACCGCAUGGUUCAAAAGUGAAAGACGGUCUUGCUGUCACUUAUAGAUGGAUCCGCGCUGCAUUAGCUAGUUGGUAAGGUAACGGCUUACCAAGGCAACGAUGCAUAGCCGACCUGAGAGGGUGAUCGGCCACACUGGAACUGAGACACGGUCCAGACUCCUACGGGAGGCAGCAGUAGGGAAUCUUCCGCAAUGGGCGAAAGCCUGACGGAGCAACGCCGCGUGAGUGAUGAAGGUCUUCGGAUCGUAAAACUCUGUUAUUAGGGAAGAACAUAUGUGUAAGUAACUGUGCACAUCUUGACGGUACCUAAUCAGAAAGCCACGGCUAACUACGUG